GCUGGGUGUGGUGGCGCCCGCCUGUAAUCCCAAAAGCUCCGGAGGCUGAGGCAGGAGGAUCAUGAGUUCAAAGCCAGCCUCAGGAGUGGCAACACACUAAGCCACUCAGUGAGACCCUGUCUCAA
rnacentral:sRNA from 1 species